GUAGUACACAGAAGGAGGGACAUGUGAUCCAAACCACAAUCUCAUGGCGAAUUCAGGUGAGGCUCAUUUCGUGUUCUUAACCUUCACUAUCUUCUUGCUUGUCGCCGGAGAGCUCGCCUCUCCGGCCACGGCCCAACUGGUCGAAUCAGAUACUCCAGCAACGGAAAAACCUUCGGUGUCGCCUCCGAUGUUCGGAGGAAAAUACGGCGUAUCUAAAAAUGUCGCAGAAGAAAAGGGAUUCUACGAGCUGCCCAUGCCUCUCUUUCGCCCUCCUCGCAUUCCCCCUUCCAUGAAAAGCUCCACAACAACUCCAUAGCUCGCACCGCGGACCUCUUUUUUUUUUUUUCAAAAUAACCCUAAAAAAUUUUAUAAUUGGUCAGAAAACCACGUCAAAAGUUUAUUUGGCAAACUAGGCCUGUUCUGCUCACCUCAGUGCCAAGCUGGCAGGAUACAACAGAAAACAGUAAAUGAUUCACUGUCUUAUAACAUUCUCAGUAGAACGGUUGCAUAUCAUAAUCUGACGUGGCGCUACCUUCGAACUUAGUUUGCCAAAUAAUAUUUUGGCAGAAUUAUUUGACAAAUUAUAAUUUUUUAAGAGUUAUUUUGAGAAGAAAAAAGGAGGGAAAAAAA